rnacentral:lncRNA from 1 species
AGUUCUGAAAUUUUGAUAUUUUACUUUUUUUUCAUAAAUACUUACUUGUGUAAAAUAUCUAUUUUGAACGUUCAUUUUUGAAUCCUACAAUAUUGACACAGACAGAGAAUUAUAUAAAGUUCACUAUCUCUAAAGUCAUGCACUUAUUAAAACGAAUAAAAUAUGAUGGUGUAUCUGCAUACAUAACUGCUGGGUACACGGGCACAGGACGUUUUCGCUUUUUUACCUGUAAAACGAUAGGACAUUUGCGCUUCAAAUACUAUGGACAUUUGGACUGUUCCGGAGUACACAGUCUGGAUUUAUUAUUAUGGAUUAUUGUAACCCCAAUAACUGCUUGCUGUUUCUUCAGUAGUUUUACUUUGUGGUUGUCAUGAUUGUACCAAUUGAAUAGUUUUGUAGGUAUGUUAUUGUGAGUAUGUUAAUGUUGCUGGACAAUUAAUUUAAGUGUAUAUCAUGUAUAUUUAGUCUGGAUUUAACUCUGAACUGGUACCCACAUGACACACUGUGGAUUAAAUUCAGACUGCUGCCUAGUCUAUUUGUAACAAACUGAAUAUCUAUAUAUCUACAACAAUUAGUCUAAGAUGCAUGAUUUUUUUAAUUUUUUUUUUUACAAUUAGUGACACAACAUGUAACCAUAAAACUGACUUGCACAUAAAGUUAUAUUUUAAUAAAAAAAACACCACAAACCGAUACAUUAAAGCACUUAUUUCUUAAUUAAAACAAAGUAAUUAAAGGCUGC